UACGUAGGUGGCGAGCGUUAUCCGGAUUUAUUGGGCGUAAAGCGUCCGCAGCCGGCUUAUUAAGUAUAGAAUUAAAGCCCGAGGCUUAACCUCGGUUCGUUCUGUAAACUGGUAGGCUUGAGUGUGGUAGAGGCAAGUGGAAUUUCUAGUGUAGCGGUAGAAUGUGUAGAUAUUAGAAGGAACACCAGUGGCGAAGGCGACUUGCUGGGCCAUUACUGACGGUCAGGGACGAAAGCGUGGGGAGCGAAUA
rnacentral:rRNA from 1 species